AACGAACGCUGGCGGCAGGCCUAACACAUGCAAGUCGAACGGGACCUUCGGGUCUAGUGGCGGACGGGUGAGUAACGCGUGGGAACGUGCCCUUUGGUUCGGAAUAGCCCCGGGAAACUGGGAGUAAUACCGGAUAAGCCCUACGGGGGAAAGAUUUAUUGCCAAAGGAUCGGCCCGCGUUGGAUUAGGUAGUUGGUGGGGUAAUGGCCUACCAAGCCGACGAUCCGUAGCGGGUUUGAGAGGAUGAUCAGCCACACUGGGACUGCGACACGGACCAGACUGCUACGGGGGGCAGCAGGGGGGAAUCUUAGACAAUGGGGGAAACCCUGAUCUGGCCAUGCCGCGUGAUCGAUGAAGGCCUUAGGGUUGAAAAGAUCUUUCAGUGGGGAAGAUAAUGACUGUACCCACAGAAGAAGCCCCGGCUAACUCCGUGCCAGCAGCCGCCGUAA
rnacentral:rRNA from 1 species